GAACGCUGGCGGCGUGCUUAACACAUGCAAGUCGAACGGGCCCGCUCUCUUUUUUGGGGGUGGGUUGAGUGGCGAACGGGUGAGUAUCACGUGAGUAACCUGCCCCCUGCUCCUGGAUAACUGCUUGAAAGGGCGGCUAAUACGGGGUGUGCCGGCUGGUCCGCAUGGGCCUGGUCGGGAUAGUUUCAUCUUCGGGUGUUUCGGUGGGGGAUGGGCUCGCGGCCUAUCAGCUUGUUGGUGGGGUGAUGGCCCACCAAGGCGGUGACGGGUAGCCGGCCUGAGAGGGUGGGCGGCCACACUGGGACUGAGACACGGCCCAGACUCCUGCGGGAGGCAGCAGUGGGGGGUAUUGCACAAUGGGCGGAAGCCUGAUGCAGCGACGUCGCGUGAGGGAUGGAGGCCUUCGGGUUGUGAACCUCUUUCCCCGGUGGUGAAGGCCCUGUCCGUUGCGGCGGGGUUGACGGUAGCCGGGUAUGAAGCGCCGGCUAACUACGUG
rnacentral:rRNA from 1 species